rnacentral:rRNA from 1 species
CACGUGAGGCACCAAGCGUUGUCCGGAAUUAUUGGGCGUAAAGAGCUCGUAGGCGGUCUGUCGCGUCGGAUGUGAAAGCUCGAGGCUUAACCUCGGGUCUGCAUCCGAUACGGGCAGACUAGAGGCAGGUAGGGGAGAACGGAAUUCCCGGUGUAGCGGUGAAAUGCGCAGAUAUCGGGAGGAACACCGGUGGCGAAGGCGGUUCUCUGGGCCUGUACUGACGCUGAGGAGCGAAAGCGUGGGGAGCGAACAGG